rnacentral:tRNA from 1 species
GGGGUGCAGCUCAGUGGUAGAGCGCUUGCCUCGUGUACACGAGACCUUGAGUUCAAUCCUCAGCAGCCCCA